rnacentral:rRNA from 1 species
UUUAAUGAGAGUUUGAUCCUGGCUCAGGACGAACGCUGGCGGCGUGCCUAAUACAUGCAAGUAGAACGCUGAAGAGAGGAGCUUGCUCUUCUUGGAUGAGUUGCGAACGGGUGAGUAACGCGUAGGUAACCUGCCUGGUAGCGGGGGAUAACUAUUGGAAACGAUAGCUAAUACCGCAUGAUAUUGAUUAUCGCAUGAUAAUUAAUUGAAAGAUGCAAUUGCAUCACUACCAGAUGGACCUGCGUUGUAUUAGCUAGUUGGUGAGGUAACGGCUCACCAAGGCGACGAUACAUAGCCGACCUGAGAGGGUGAUCGGCCACACUGGGACUGAGACACGGCCCAGACUCCUACGGGAGGCAGCAGUAGGGAAUCUUCGGCAAUGGGGGGAACCCUGACCGAGCAACGCCGCGUGAGUGAAGAAGGUUUUCGGAUCGUAAAGCUCUGUUGUAAGAGAAGAACGGGUGUGAGAGUGGAAAGUUCACACUGUGAC